rnacentral:rRNA from 1 species
UAAUACGGGGGGUGCGAGCGUUGUUCGGAUUCACUGGGUAUAAAGGGUGCGCAGGCGGCUUGAUAAGUCAGAGGUGAAAUUCGUCGGCUCAACCGACGGACUGCCCCUGAAACUGUCUCGCUUGAGUCCGGGAGAGGAAGGUGGAAUUCCAGGUGUAGCGGUGAAAUGCGUAAAUAUCUGGAGGAACACCGGUGGCGAAGGCGGCCUUCUGGCCCGGAACUGACGCUCAGGCACGAAAGCUAGGGGAGCGAACGGG